AACGAACGCUGGCGGCAGGCUUAACACAUGCAAGUCGAACGGCUGUAGCAAUACAGCAGUGGCAGACGGGUGAGUAACACGUGGGAACCUUCCUCGUAGUACGGAACAACUCAGGGAAACUUGAGCUAAUACCGUAUACGCCCCCGGACUUGAUCCGGGGGGAAAGAUUUAUCGCUAUGAGACGGGCCCGCGCCGGAUUAGGUAGUUGGUGGGGUAACGGCCUACCAAGCCGACGAUCCGUAGCUGANCUGAGAGGAUGAUCAGCCACACUGGGACUGAGACACGGCCCAGACUCCGUACGGGAGGCAGCAGGUGGGGAAUCUUGCGCAAUGGGACGAAAGCCUGACGCAGCGACGCCGCGUGAGGAUGACGC
rnacentral:rRNA from 1 species